GAUGAACGCUGGCUACAGGCUUAACACAUGCAAGUCGAGGGGAAACGACGGGGAAGCUUGCUUCCCCGGGCGUCGACCGGCGCACGGGUGAGUAACGCGUAUCCAACCUGCCUCUGACUGAGGGAUAACCCGUCGAAAGUCGGCCUAAUACCUCAUGGCAUCGUCUGCGGGCAUCCAACGACGAUUAAAGAUUUCAUCGGUCAGGGAUGGGGAUGCGUCUGAUUAGCUUGUUGGCGGGGUAACGGCCCACCAAGGCUACGAUCAGUAGGGGUUCUGAGAGGAAGGUCCCCCACAUUGGAACUGAGACACGGUCCAAACUCCUACGGGAGGCAGCAGUGAGGAAUAUUGGUCAAGGGGCGGGAGCCUGAACCAGCCAAGUAGCGUGCAGGAUGACGGCCCUAUGGGUUGUAAACUGCUUUUAUGCGGGGAUAAAGUGAGGGACGUGUCCUUCAUUGCAGGUACCGAAUGAAUAAGGACCGGCUAAUUCCGUG
rnacentral:rRNA from 1 species